GUUGACCCCCCGCUCCGUUCCGUGGCACCUCAGCUUUGGGAAAGCCGGUUUGGAGGUGAGUUACGGAGUCAGAGCCCAGUCUCACCCACCUUUGUGAGGUGACCUUGGGCAGGUGCCUCAGUUUCCUCACCUGUAAAAUCGGAUGGUUACAGGGUCUGCCUCGUAGUGUGCUUGAGGCUUAGCAGACACGCUGAAUGCACCCCGGCUCGGUGCCUGCAGGAUGAGCUGGCGAGACCCCUGAGCAGCGCGGGACCAGCCCAGGGGAAGACUCGAGCCCCCCACCCUGCCAUCCGGGCCUGACGCCUCCCAAGAUGGGCAUCUUGUUGCUAGAAAGUUCUUCCUACGUCAGGAAGAGGGUUUCCCGUGACUCCAGCCGAGAACAGGCCCCUUCCCUGGGGAAUCUGGGGAAUCAAGGACUUGGCUCCGGUCCCCGCAGCCCGCUCCUGCCAGGUGCCACGGCAGCCGUCCUGCCCCCGCCUCCCCCCCCAGCAAACACACCUGCCCACCGCAAUCUGGUCGCUGCUCCCUCUGGAGCUGCCACGCUGCCCACGGCCCCUCCUCGAGCUGCGCCUUUGAUGCUCCUUGUCUCGGGCCUGACGCCAGGACAGACGGACGCCCCCAGCCAGGAGAAGGUGGAGCCCGGAGUCCACCCCGCUUGAGCCCUGGCCAUCACCCCACUGGAACCCCGGGUCUCUGCCUGCCCAGUGGGGAGCAGCAGGGACCUCUUGAGACUCCCUGGAACUGCGCGUCGAGCUCCCCCGGCGACACCCUGUGGGAGAACGGCCCUGUGCGCUGUGGCCACAUGCUCAGGCGUCCUGUGACAUACGUGUCACUCAGGUGUGCGUGUGUCACCGCAUGCGUGUGCACUUACCUUUAAAAGUUUGCAGAGAACAACGCUUACCUACUCUGCACGGUGAGUAAUAGGACGUGUCCUUCUAAACAGUUUUUCAGCCUUUUCGUUGGAAAAUCCCCAACCCUCCAGGAACUGCCGCGGAGCUAGAAAGGCAGGGGCUGCCGGGUCGCAGGCCGCGAGCGUCCCAACAGCGGCACGUCCCAUUUAUUCUGUUCCAUUUAAAAAUGCUGGUCACGGCCACAAAGGCGGUCCAGGCCCGCUGCUGGCCCCGCCUCAGGGCUCGGAAUGCGCGGGCAUGGAGGCCCCUGGCAGGCCCCUGCACGCCGCCUGGCCGAGACCCAGCCCUCCUGGCUCUCAGGCUGCCGAGACGCUGCGGGGCCCCAGCCCUCCUGCCACCCCAGCUCCUCCUCGGGGCCCUUGGGGCCCCCCACCAGCCUGCGGCUCGAGGGCCCCUGGGACCCGCUCUGGCCCC
ensembl:lincRNA